rnacentral:rRNA from 1 species
UACGUAGGGGGCAAGCGUUGUCCGGAUUUAUUGGGCGUAAAGGGCGCGUAGGUGGUUCUGUGUGUCUACUGUGAAAGCGUACGGCUCAACCGUAUUUAGUCGGUAGAAACUGCAGGACUUGAGGCUGGGAGGGGCUGGUGGAAUUCCCUGUGUAGCGGUGAAAUGCGUAGAGAUGGGGGAGAACACUCGUGGCGAAGGCGGCCAGCUAGACCAGCUCUGACACUGAGGCGCGAUAGCGUGGGGAGCAAACAGG